rnacentral:rRNA from 1 species
UAGGUGGCAAGCGUUGUCCGGAAUUACUGGGUGUAAAGGGAGCGCAGGCGGGAAAGCAAGUCAGCUGUGAAAUCCAUGGGCUCAACCCAUGAACUGCAGUUGAAACUGUUUUUCUUGAGUGAAGUAGAGGUUGGCGGAAUUCCGAGUGUAGCGGUGAAAUGCGUAGAUAUUCGGAGGAACACCGGUGGCGAAGGCGGCCAACUGGGCUUUUACUGACGCUGAGGCUCGAAAGUGUGGGGAGCAAA